rnacentral:lncRNA from 1 species
ACAAAAAAUAAUAUAAUAUCUGAUCUAUUCAAUUAUUCAGGGCUUAUUUGGUCAGACAUUUUAAGUAUGAUUUAUUUUACAGUCACUUUGUAUGUCUCUUUCCGUAAAGUUUAAUUUUUUAUGUCGUAUCGAAUUCAGAUUAUUUGUCUCACUGACAAAAUAUUAUACCAGUAACAUUGAAAAUCUUAUUUUAGGAUGUGUUUGUUUUAUCAAAAAUUUUAACUUUUUUUUUAAAAAAAGCCAAACCAAAGUUAAAUAUGGAGAAAAAAAUUGAGGAAAAAAAACAUAAUAUUAUCCGUCUCUCACACCUUUCAGUUUUUACGUUAUUCUUUUUGUGAAAACAAGCAGCAAAACUAAAAAGUUUACAAUUCAGUAGUGACAUAAAUAAACGAUAAAAGAAAACAACUUUUCACAUAAACUGUAACUUAUCUGAAAGUCUAUUUUAAUCUAGACUUUACAUUCGAUGAAAUAAUCGAGUUAUUACUGAAAGUGCAGAGAUCAAGUGAUAUAUAAUAUUCCAAACAAAUUUUUUUAAGGACCAAGAAUGUAAUUAUCCUAUUUUUGUCCAAACCAUGUAGGAUUGUGUGAAAGACGUGGUAGAUCGUGCCUAAGGUGAGAGAACAAUUUGUACCAUAAGUUUGGUACAAAUAUUUUUAAGAUUAGGUUAUUAAAAUGUACUGAAACAGUGAGUGUUUAAUCAACCAGAAUUGAGAAGUACUAUUUACUGAAAAAAAAAAUUAGUGGGGCAAAAUUGUUGGUUUUAUUAAUCAGAUUAUAAAGGUCCCUAAUUAAUUAGGCAUAUUAGAGAUUAUAGUGUUACAUAUUUUAAUCUUUAUAGGGGCCAAAUUAAAUUUUUUCUACACAAAAAUUGUGGGCCACCAAAAAUUUUUCCUUACAAAACUUUAUAAUAACAUUUUUCUAAAGAUAAAUAUAUUUUGUAUUUUCAACCUCCUCAAAAAUUUAAGAAAUAGAUAUAGAUCUCUGAUUAAGGAGACAUAUUGAAGAUUAAAAUAUUAUAAAUUUUAAUUUUUAGAGGGAUAAAAUUAAAAUUUUUUCUUACAGAAUUUGUGGGCCACGAAAAUUUUUUUUUCUCGCAAAUUUUUUCUUACAAAACUUUAUAAUAUUUUUUUUAAGAUAAAUAAAUUAUAUAUAUAUUUGUCCUUCUCAAACUUAAAUUCUGAUCUCGCCUAUGAUUUGCGUGCUAAUGAAACAUUAUAUUAAAAAAAAAUGAGAUAAUGGGUAAGUAUUAGAAAAAACUUAAUUAAUUAAUGGUCUAAUGAAGCGCAUAGCAUAAAUUUAAGUACCAAGUUUAUACAUUAUUGUCAUAAACUAACUGCACUAUCAAAUAAAAAAUGUUACGAUGUUUAACUAGCUAAGUAGUAUUUUAACAAUAUUUAUAAAAUUUAUAAAAAUAUAUAAAUUACUUUGAAAAUUUUUAAAUGUAUAUUAGUAAUUAAUUUGUUUGUUAGUUAUAAAAUAAAAUUAAUUGCAUACAGUUCCUUAUAAACAUAUUGUAGUAGAUAUAACCUUACAAAGUUCAGUAUUUUAUAUUUAUCCACACAAAAAUUCUAGCGCUUUUAGAUAUAGCUCUAUUGUUAGGAUUUAUUAUAAAAAUAUAAUUAAUUAUAAUUAAAAUAUUUAACUCUGAUUGGUGAAUAGAGAAAGUAAGUUUUUUACUCCAUUUAUAUUAUUUGUGACGGUAGAAAGAAAGAAAAUGACUGUUGAAAAUUUUUAGGAGAACAUUUUUGUAUAAUCUAACAAUUAGAUAAGUGUUAAAAAAUAAACAAUAUUCUAACGAUAAUAAAUCAGAAGAAUAAAUAUAAAUAUUACUAAAUUUUAAAAAAAUAAAUAUAAAAAUUAAAAUUUAUAAAAAUAUAUUUAUUAUUCAAUACUUUUAUAAAAAAAAACUGUAUGAAAUUAAUCUUAUAAAAUAUGCGACAGGCGAAGGAGCAGUAGCUCUACUGCUGUAAUGUGACUCCAUCAGGAAGGUUAUUGUGUACUUUUUUUCAGUAUUGCCUCGAGAUUCACGUAAAGUACUUGGCCGAACCUUACACCAUUUUCCGACAUUACAAUGCGCUUUCACUUGUGAAUAUGUAUUUGAAAUUGAGCUGCUUGGAAAACUUUAAAAACCUCCCCUGUAGUUUUAUAUUUUUUCACUUUAGUACACUGCAAUUUAAAGUAUAUCAAUUUGCCCUCCUAUAGUUUUAUUUUAUUUUUUUUUAGUAUCAAUUUUAUUAUUAUUUUUUCUUAAAUCAGUGACAAAGUUAAAAUUAAAUGGUACUAAAGUAAAUAUUCGAUAAAUCUAGGUGGGUAUCUGAAGUUUUUUUUGUAUAUAAUUUAAUGAAAUAUUAAGAAAAAGGCCGUCGAAAAGAUAAAAACAAAACUAUCGAGGAAAAAAUUGAUAUAUUUUAAAUCACAGGGCACUGAAGUAAAAAAGUGGGAAACUAUAGAUUUUUUUUUGACGUUUUCCUCAGUAUUAAUUCCGGAAAAGCACUUUUUAAAAUGGAGUGUUUUUGAUUCCUCGAGAAAGCAUAAAAAGUUAUUUCUCAAAAAAAAAUCAUAUUUUUUUAUUUUCUAAAUAAAAAAUUUAUAAGAUGAAAAUAUUACCUUUCAAUGAAAGAAAAAUUGUAUAAAAAAUUUACUGAUUUUGAAAUUUUGCAAACGUGAAUUAUCUUUUAUAGUUUUGCAGGUUCCGCCUAGAUUUAUUGUACUUGGAUGAAAAUGCCUUUUUCUUUUUUUUUCUUUUUUUUCUUUUUGUAUGUGAAAGAUACAGUACAGAUUGUUACCGGAAAUAAUAAAUGCCUAUUACGAAUCAUAUUACUGUUUUUGUCGGAAUGCGAUUUUAAUCGUGCAACACCAUUGACCAUCUUCAUUGUUUGCGGUUCAGAAUUUUUUUAUAAGAAGAUUCUAAGGAGAUAGGAGAUAAGAAAUAAACAUGAACAUUAUGGUGAACAAAUAAUGAUACAAUAUCAACCUAAAUAGUAUACCACAAUUUAAAGAGUGUAAUAUUUCUAUUGAGUAACUGACCGUCCCUAACGCAAGUAGUAAAGGACUUGUUGGUUGAUGUAACGCCCCCAAUAGUCCCACAUAGGAUGGGAUACUGAUUCCGAUUAGUUUAUAUGAGACAUACACGCUAAUAAUAAUAACUGGGCUUAAGUAUUUUGGGCCGGUGGUUUGGCUCAAUGAGUUAUUAUUGCUAGCGGGUCGGGUCGUUAAAAUUGGUAUCAGAGACGAAUACCAGCCGGAAGUGUGAGAACUAAGUGCUAUGCGGGACAAAGUGCUACACCAAAGGAUUUGGUGGGAGCCACUUCUAGAAUCUCACAUCGCCUGGUAAUGGUUCUGAUCUGUCUGUCUGUGAUCUGGUUUGGGCCCGACGAAGACGUCAGGAUCUAAACAGGGGGAGUUUGUAACGCCUCCAAUAAGCCCACAUCGGAUGAAAUAAUAAUAACGGAAUUUAAGCGUUUUGGGCCAGUGGUUUAGCUCUAGCUCAACCAGUUAUUAUUGUUAGCAGGUCGGGUCGUUAAAGUUGGUAUUCGGGAUCCUAAGUUUAAAACUUAAUUACUUCAUAUUUUCAACUAAGUUGAUUUUUUUAAAAAAUAAACGAAAUGGAUAGCAUGUUAUAUUUCUCUUAAGUAAAAAAAUAUUUAUAAUAAGUAGUACAACAAUGAGAUAAAUUAGUGUAAAUUUUGCUCCAAACAGUGCCAACACAGAAUCAAAUAGUGCAAUCCGGCUUUUCCUCUUCUCCUACUUUCUUAUUCUUCUUCUUCUUCUUCUUCUUCUCACGUACAAAAAUAUAACGAAUGUGCUUACAACUUUCAACAAAGUAUUAGAUUAUAGAGUCGCCAAACCCUAGCACUACAACAUACAACAAAUUAGGCCAGCAACCAAGCUCGCUCGCUGUUUGCGAGCCUAAUUAAGUUUUUUUGUGCUUUUAACUUUUUUUAGUCUUUGAAUUAAAGUUUUUUGCGGCUUAGAUGAUGCAUGACCCUCAUAUUCAGCUCAAGCUCGUAACCAGUUCGAAAAGCGCAACACCUGACUGAGUCGAAUUGUAUUUAAGUGAAUUUACAUUGGGCUCGUUAGUAAUUCAAGCCGGUCCUAUCUCGCUGGUGUUGGGCUCGUUGACUGGGCUCGGAGUCGGGACCAUGGAGUUGCUUCACGUGCACGUCACGUGUGCUCGCUCCACCGCCUCUCACGGCGCUACAUAGAUGGAUGAUCGGAUCCUCUGGUACAUUCUCUGGUACCCCAACAAAUAUAUCCCCCUCUCCCCCCCCACCUCGCUCUUGUACCCUUCUCCGAACACCCAAAUGGGCGGCGGGAGGCGGAGGCUCGGCCAAAACCCUAGCGGCGGCGGCGGCCGUACUAGCGGCGGCGGCGGCGGGCGGCGCCGCUUAUCCGGCGGCGGCGGCGGUGGCGGUGGCGGGCAAUCUCGUCAAAACGCGGGAAGGCCCCGAUUUCUUGGCGGGAAGAAGCCCGGCGCCGCCGCUGGGGUGGCCGUUUUGGGUCCGAGCUCUUGGUCGCGUGAUCCGGCGGUGGCCGGAGGUGUAGGAUUAGGGUUUACUUUGGGGGAGGAUGCGGCGGUGGCGGAGGAGGAGGAGGAGGAGGUGGAUUGUGGUCCCGUCGUUGGGCGUGUAGGGUUAGGGUUUUCUCCUCGGGAAGAGGCGGAGGAGGACGAGGUGGUUGAAGAGGGAUCCGUGGGAAUGGAUUUGUAUUCGACUCCGAAGGUCAAGGGAGAGAGGAAAAAUGAGGGCUUUUUGUCGAUCGGAGGCUUCCGAGUGUACACUGAGGACACAUCCUCGCCAGAGGAGGAAAUUGACGGGUCCGAAGAUGACGAUAGUGAUGAUGAGGAGGAGGAGGAAGAAGAAGAUGAAGGGGAAGGAGGAGUUCCCAUGGAGGAGGAUGAAGACGAGGAUGAGGAAGAAGAAGAAGAGGAUUCGUCUGAUGAGGAUGAUUCGUCCUUUAAUGGUGACUCCGACAUUGAUGAUGAGGUAGCUGAGGACUACUUGGAAGGAAUUGGGGGAAGCGCCGAGCUUCUGAGUUCCAGGUGGCCUGGGACCAAGAGUUCGGAUGAAUCUGAUGACGAUGAUGGAUUGCCGAAGCCUGAGAAGUUGGGAGGGAUUGCUCUUAUGAAUGCUUCGGAGAAGUACGGAAUGAAGCCCAAAUUGAGGAAGGGAAAGGGAAAGGUGGAAGAUGAUAUGUGCGUUUCGCCCGCUGUUGGUUUGUUCCCGGGGGACGACGGUAUGCUGCUAGUAAAGGAUGUUAGGUCGAGCUCGAGGAGAAAGAAGCCUCCCUCUUCUUCUUCUUCUCAUCUUUCUCGAUCUUGGCCUUGUGAGCUUCGGAACAGUAAAAAGCAUGGAAGUGUUCCUGGUACGAGCAACUAUCACUCAAUUCUCCUUGUUAUCAAAUUGGUAAAUAUUUUUAUUCAGGGCGUGUCAUAGUGCCAUGACUUGCCAAUUGCCAUUGCAUGGGAGUGAUCCAGGUAGUGAAUGUUGUGUAGACUUCGUGUAUUCGAGGAAGCGCCAUUGGAGUAAAAAUUAAUCAUAUGCUUGCAUUUUAUUGUAUUUCUAUAAUCUUUCGAUAUGCUUUAGGUGGAAAGAAGAAACAUCGAAAAGAACUUAUUGCAAUUAAGCGUCAGCAGCGUAUGAUCAAUCGAGGUGUCGAUUUGGACCAGAUUAAUUCAGUAAGAACUUAUAUUUGUUCCUGCUUGAAUUUAGUCAUAAACAGUUAGGAGCGUAGAUCCUAGUGCAUUUACGUAAUGUAAUUAAAAAUUAGGAGUCUCACUUUAGUCUUUUUAAAGUGUUACUGGGUUUGCUGUAUUCCUUACAUCAACCGAUGCUUACAAUCUGAUAGGGUUCAAUAUCUUUAGUUUUGAGCUAAAAUUCUGUAAAGUUGUCAAGCUGAUUCCUUUCAAAACCUAUCCUUUUCUAGUGGUAAAAUGUUAUGUCUUCUAUUGUGCUGGUUUUGUCUAAUCUUUUAUGUCUGAAAUAUCGUGUCUGAUUUACUUUUCACUCUGAGUUAAAUUUGAUUAAAUUUCAACGAUGAGUUAAAACUUGAUUUCCUUUUUUUUUUGUCAGCCUAAUUUUGUUGUGGAAAUCUUCUAUCUGUUUUCGGAUUUUGCUCCGAGUUUAUAUUUUGUUACUGAUUCCUGAGUGAAAGAGAAAUAUAGGGAAGUUUGUUUUAUCUAACUAUUUCCGUUCUUGCGUGAUAUUUUAACCACAACUUCCCUAAAAAAAUGGUUUGGCAAAAAAUUAUCUGUCAGUCAGUUGUAACUGGUCGGAUGUCAGUUAUGUCCAAUUAAUGUGUUUGCUCCGUUCAAAUUUACUAUGAACUCAGAAAUCUUUUUUUUUUUUUCUUCCCUGUAGAAACUGAGGCAGUUGGUUAUGGGCGAAGUGGAUAUAUACUCAUUUCAACCUAUGCGAUCCCGUGAUUGUUCCCAGGUAUGGUUCUUUCUUUUACAUAUUAUAAAGUUUUUAUAAUAUAGUGUUUGAAUUCUAAAUAUGUGUCUAUUAUAGCAGUUAUAAUGGUAUUUAUAUAGCAUAUUUUUAUCCAGCAUUUUAACUGGUGUUGCAUUUUUGAGAUUUGAGAAAUUCUAUUUAUUGUCUUGUUAUUACUCUAAUCCUUAAGCAUUAACAGCUCAAGUUUAAUUAGGUCUGGGAACUUAUUAUUGAAGUUGUGUUUUUAUGACUGAGAGAAGCGUAGAUGACUUUGAUUUGCAAAUUAAAUUAUUUCAUUUUGAGUGAAAUCAAACCUAGAUUAUGGGUGAAUAUAGUAUCUUCUGCAGUCCUAAUCUAUCUGUCAGCGACAGGAAUAUGAUAGCGGUGUGAGGUGGUCGAUAGUGCCGAUUUUGGAUAAAUUUAGAUAAUGACGAAUGAAUAUUGUUAGGUUCUUGAGAUUGGUAUUUAUAUAACAAAUUUGCAGGUUUGUCCUUCAUGUCAUUAUGAAGUUUUUAUUUUUUGUGUCUGGUCUUAUCUUUCUUUCUUUUUUUAACUUCUUUAGGUGCGACGACUGGCAUCGAUUUAUCAUCUACGAAGUGGCUGCCAAGGUUCAAGCAAGAAAAGGUAACAGAAAAUUUUAAAGUCCCUUCUUGCAGUCUAACACAGAUACUAUGAUAGGAUUUUGGUUCAAACCGAUCAUAUCACUAGUAAAAUUAUCUAUCCAUCAAAUUCCCAUUAAUCGUGGUGGUUAUAUAUUAUGUCGUAGCACUAUACAAGCUAGCAUGAUGGUUGUUUCCGCAGUAAGUUUGGGUUUAGAAUAGGUAAUCCAUAAUAUUCUGCAAAUUCUCUUCUGUUAAUAACAUUCAUUGCAGCUUCGAUUCCCUAUAAUGAUGUUAGCCUCAUGUACCAUUUCUUCCAGCUUUGUGACGGUGACUCGAACUGCGCAAACAUGUUUGCCGUCCUCAACUGACCAAAUUCGACUUCAUAAGGUAACCUUCUUCUCUUUUGUGUUGCAUUAUCUUCCUCUCCGUAUAAUAUGUUCUCUUUUUUAGAGUUGUGCCUUUGUUGAGGGAUAAUGUUCUGUGGUUAUGGUUCUCUUUGCUGGUAGCUUUCUUUAGUUUCUUUUAUUUUGCCUUCCCCACGCAAUUGCCGUCCUGCGGGGAAUUCAAUUUUCUUUUAGAGGCCUUUUAGUUUUUACAUUUCAGAUUGUUGAUAAUUAUAGCAAUCAAUCAUCUAUUAUGUUUGCUAUUGGGAAAGUUUGCCACGUUAUUAGUUCUUUGUUUCUUUGUAUCAUUGCAGAAAACUUGAUGGUAAUUUUGUUAUUUUUGACAUUUAAGGUUGAAGUUAUAGACAUUUAGACACAAUCUCAUGUAGAGCCAACAACCGGGAUUGUUGAACUCGAAUGCGAGCUGUGAACUUUGAAUCAUCACCCCUAAUUAGCUUCAAAGUCAUGAUGAGAGUUUUCAACAAAAACUCAAAUAGUAGUUUUCUGUAUUCGAAGUACAAGAGCAUAUCUGUUGCUCACGUGCUUUUUCUUAUGAAUCCCAGCUUUUAGGAGCGGGCGUCGAGGAUGACGACUUCGUCAUAAAUCUUGACAAGAAGAAAGAACCUAAAUCACGCCCUAAUGGUUCAUCUUCCAACGGCAAGCUAACAAAGAGUCGGGACUUGAGUGGGAAGAAGAAACGGGAUGGAAAGCAGGGCUCGGCUUCAUAUGCCGAAAGGCCAGUUUCCUUUGUGUCCUGCGGAGCCAUGCAAGUCGAUUCAGUGACGGAGGAAGUGUUUUUGGAUUCAAACGGUACAAUGACUGAAACGAAAGCUGUUGAGAAUAGCACUUCUGAUUUCGGUGCUUUCGAGAUGCACACAAAAGGGUUUGGAUCCAGAAUGAUGGCGAAGAUGGGUUUCGUUGAAGGCAGCGGCCUAGGCAAGGACGGGCAGGGAAUACCUCAGCCCAUCGAAGCGACCAAACGGCCGAAAUCGCUCGGAUUAGGUGUUCAGUUUACGGCUGCAGAUUCGGAAGGUAAGCAAAUGGAAGCAAGUACGUCCAAGAAGCCAAGGGAAGCGAGAAGUAUCGGAGCGUUUGAGAAGCAUACGAAGGGGUUUGGAUCGAAGAUGAUGGUGAAAAUGGGUUUUAUUCCGGGCACGGGAUUGGGGAGGGACGCGCAGGGGAUCGUUAAUCCUUUGACGGCCGUUAAACGGCCAAAGUCGCGCGGUUUAGGGGCCAAGUCUUAGUUACAUCUUGUUUAUGCAUUUAGCUUGGUAACUCAAUUGUUUUCAUGAUUGUAAAUUAUUAUAUGAUCAAUCUAGUUUUAUUGGUCUUUACUCCUCUUGUAUUAGGAGGGGAAAUUAGAUCUAAAAUUCGAGACUCGCUCAAAUGGAAGGAAAAUUAAGGAAUUAAUUAAAUAAAUCACAAAUGAUUUCCUAUCAUUUCGUCUUUUUAUUUUUAUUUUUCCUUUUAGUAAUAUCUGUGUGUCUCUUUGUCUGUGUGUGUUGUGUUAAGCGCAUCUUAAACUAAAAUUUUUUAGGCCUUGCUUAGAUGUUAAUUAAGUUGCCUUAUGAUAACUUAUUCCGUAUGGUUUUUAUUUUUUUUAUAUAAUAGUAAAAUAAGAGUUUAAUUUUUGUUUCUCGAAAAAUUUUGAUAUUCAUAAUUCAGUAGGAUAAUAUAUUUUAUCUACAUGGUAAGUUAUUUUAAUCUUAAAAAUGAUUUGAAGGCUGAAUACGCUAUUAUGUUCUAGAUUUAACCACAUUCCUAACUUUUAAGUUUAUAAAAAAAUGUCAUACCAAAUAGAAUAUCAUAAGAUAGAUUUUUACGACAUUUAAAUGGAAUUUUAAUUUAAGAAAUACUAAUAUUUUCUUUCCUGAUCAAUGGAGUGUUUUCUUAAUCAUAUUUGUGUUUUCUUAAUCAUAUUUCUCCUUUCACUAUAGCUAUUUUUUAGUGUAUAAUUGAAAAUCGGAAUACGAAUGAACGACUGCAAUUGUUAUGCAGAGUUCUUCUUGGAUCCCGAUUCAAUCCGGCCUACUUAAAAUGAAUCAAAUAAUAUAUGUUUUCAUUCUGUUAAUUUUCAAUAUGCCAAAAUGUUUCAGUAAUAAAAUUUUAAUAUAUAUAUAUGAAUAUGAAUUGAGUUCCUAUGCUUUUAGCUUGUAGAUAUUUAGCCAUUGGAUUAAGAGAUUUGUGGUUAGGAUGAUGUGGGUCUCUUAGGGUUGAGUUGGUGGUUGGUUGAAUAGUAUUUUAUCGUAGCUCCAAAUAUAUAUAUAUAUUAUAUAUUAUAUUUAUAUAUAAUAUAUAGAGUUGGACUGGGCUUACUAUUAGUAGCAAAAUCCUAUAUUUGCUACCAGUUUUUACUUGGAUCAACUCUUUUAUUAUUUUAACCAUUUGGAUUAAAUACUAUUACCCAAUGGGAACACAUCACCCUAGGGGAUUCACUCACUAAACGACUAAAAUCAGUCCUGACGCCUACAAUUUUUCUAUGGCAAGGGGUUAAAAACUUGAUACGUAAAAAGAGUCGUUUUACUACUUAAUUAGUUUAUUCAGCUGCAUUCAUAUAUUUUUAUUAUUAGUAGGGGACUCUAUACUUUUUAUGAGUAUAUUAGAGUUGAGUUAGAAUACUAUCGAUACAAAUGGUCUCGUUGCAUUCCAUUUGUUUUCGAUGAUGAGCUCCAAAUCGACAAUCGGCAUCGUUGAACAUGAUUCAUACACUUGAAGUGUUUUAAAUCAAACUUCAUACAUUUCUAUAUUAUUUCUAUUCAUCAAGUGGACACAAAAAUAAUGCUGAAUAAAUAUUUUUAAAAUAUGAUUAGGAGUCUUAUAAUCAGAAUCAAGAGUAUAGAUCUUGUUUUAAAUAGUUUAAAGAAUUUUAUAACAAAAAUUCAAUUGAUUUGGAUAUUUUUACGCCAUUAAACGAGAAAACGCUCAUAUAACGACUAUUAAAAUUACAAAUUUUGAAACUUUUGAUCAUUAGGCAAAUGAUGUCGAAAGAUUUGAAAUUUGAUUUUCUAAACACUUUAAGUGGUAUAUACUCAUAUUCAACGGUGCCGAUCGUCGAUUUGAGGCUCUAUCAUUGAAAAUAUAAAUUGGUGACAACGGAGCCCGUUUGCUAUCGAUAGUAUUCUUAGCUCAGUUUGUACUACUAUAUAUAUAUAAUUAUAUGAUUAUAUGAUGUAUAUAUAUAUGAGGCUGGGGCUGCUAUACUCUUAUUGAGUAUAGACUCCUCUGUACUCAUAAAUAUUUUACCGUUGAAUUGGUGAGAUAGUUGAAUUAGGUAUAAUGGCGGCCCCCAUAGAAUGAUAGUGGCGGGCAUAGGUUGAGGUGGGUAGUGUUGAAUAGUAUGAUCUAACGGUGUAAAAUGAAAAAUGCCCAAUAAAUCUUAAGGGGCGAAAGUUUGAGUAUAAAGGAAGCCAUUAUCAUAAAAAUAUAGUAGCAAGAGUCGGUAUAUAUUUAUAUUAUGUAAUAAGUAUGUAUAUUAUAUAUAUGAUAGAUAUAUAGUGUUUAUAGUAUAUGUAUUUUUUAUGUAUAUAUAUAUAUGUAUAUAUAAUUUGUAUAUAAUAUUAUGUUAUAUAAUAUAUGUAUAUAUUGUUUAUAAUUAUAUAUACAUAUGUAGUAUAUAUAUUAUAUGGUAUAUGUAUAUACACUUAUAUAUAUAUGUAUCUAUAUAUAUAUAUAUAUAUGUAUAUAUAAUUAGGCUACUAUACUAUCUAUAGUUUCGGAGCUCCGAUACUAUAGUCUUGUUUUCAAUUUUAGAGUGUUCAAAUUAACGAUCCACACCAUUAAAUAUGAUCUAGGGUAUAUGAAGUUCUUAGGAAUAAAAUUUUAGUUUUUUUCGACAUCGUUUACUUAGUAAAUAAAUUAUGUCAAAAUGAACGGUGAAAAUUGAAUUAUCUUUAAACUUUGAGUAUGGGACUUUUAAAUUCAAGAUCAAGAAUGUUAACCUUAAUCUAGAUAGUUUAAAGUAUUUUCUAUCAAAAUUUGAAGAAAUUUAGAUUCUUCUACACCGUUAAACUCCAAACUCGCCAUAGUAGCCAUUGAAAAUUGAUAAUAUUGAAAUUGUUUGAUCAUAAAGUAAAUUAUGUCGAAAAAAUAUAAAAUUUUAUUUGUAAAAACUUUAAAUACCCUAAAUCAGUUUUAACAGUGUGGAUCGUUGAUCUGAACACCCUAAAAUCGAAAAUGGAACUAUAGUACCGGAGCCCCGGUACUAUAGAUAGUACAGGAGACUAGCUCUCUCUCUCUCUCUCUCUCUCUCUCUCUCUCUCUCUCUCUCUCUCUCUCUCUCUCUCUAUAUAUAUAUAUAUAUAUAUAUAGAAUUAGACUGGAAUACUAUUAAUAGUAAAACCCUCUUUUUGCUAUCAAGUUUUUAACCCUUAGAUGAAAAAUUGUAGGGUGAGGAUGAUAUUAGUCAGUUAGAGUUGAGUAGUCUCCUUAGGGUUGAGUGGUUCCCACUGGGUUAUAGUAUUUAAUCCAAUGGUUAGAAAUGAUGAAAAGAGUUGAUCCAAAGGCUAAAAAACUGGUAGCAACAAUGGGAUUUUGCUACUAAUAGUAGCCCAGUCCAACUCUCUCUCUCUCUCUAUAUAUAUAUAUAGAGUCCGACUAGGAUACUAUCGAUAGCACCAAGUACUUGAUGCUUGGUGCUAUCGAGUUUUUUACUGUUAGAUUUAACAUUUUGAUUAUUUUUACCUGUUAGAUUAUACUAUUCAACCAAUAACCCACUCAACCCUAGGGGGCCCACAACAUCCUAACUGCACAUUUCUCAAUGCAAGGGCUAAAAAACUAAUAGCACCAAUGACUUGGUGCUACUAAUAAUAUUCCAGCCUAGUUUUAUAUAUAUAUAGUCCGGCUGGGAUACUAUCGAUAGCACUAAGGAUUUUGUGCUAUCGAGUUUUCCACCGUUAGAUUUAACCCUUUGAUUAUUUUUACCCAUUUGAUUAUACUAUUCAACCAAACACUCACUGAACCUUAGGGAGUCCAUAUCAUCCUAACCACACAUUUCUCAAUCCAAGAGUUUAAAAACUAAUAGUACCAAUAGCUUGGUGCUAUUAAUAGUAUUCCAGCCUAGGUGGUUGAUUGAAUAGUGUAAUCUGAUGGAUAGGAAUGGUAAAAAAGAUAGAUCUAAUGGUAGAAAACUUACAAACACAAAGUAUUUUGUGCUUUUAAAAGCACCAUAAUCAAACCCAUAUAUAUAUAUAUAUAUAUAUAAAGAGAGAGAGAGAGAGAGAGAGAGAGAGAGUUUUGCUAGAAUACUAUCGAUAGUAAACGGAUCAGUUUACUACCGAUUUGUUUUCGAUGAUAGAGCUUCCAAAUUGAUGAUCGACACCGUUAAACAUGAUCUACACAUUUUCGAUAUUGUUCUCUUGUUCAUCAAGUUAACAGAAAAAUGAAUGGCUGGAAAUAAAUAUCCUUCAAAAAGUAAUGAUACAAUUUUUAUAUUUGAGAUCUAGAGUCAAGAUCUUAUUUUAACUAGUUUAAAGAGUUUUUUAACAAAAAUUUAGUUGAUUUGAACUUUUCUAUACCGUUAAAUGAGCAAACACACCAUAUCUGCCAUUAAAAUUAUAGAUUUUGUGACCCUUUGAUCGUUCAGUUAGUGAUGCUAAAAAAUCAUGAAAUUUGAUUUGUAGAUAAUUUAAAUGGUCUAAGAUCAUAUUCAACGAUGCCGAUCGUCGAUUUGGAAGCUCUAUCAUCAAAAAUAAAUCAGUAGUAAACCGAGCAGUUUACUACUGAUAGUAGCCCAGUCAAACUCUCUCUCUCUCUCUAUAUAUAUAUUAUAUAUAUUCCCUUUGGAUAUUGUAGAUUACACAAUUAUUAAACUAGGGUUUACUUUUGAGACAUUAAUUAUUAAAUAUUAAGAUAGAUGCGUGACACAUGCGAAUGGAUCGGGCGCCAGCAAUAAACCCAACAACUUCCAGGGUCCAUUUUGAUGGAUCCGAAUCAAUGUCCCCACUACAAGCUCUAGUCUCAAACACAUGCACAAAAUGGAGUCUUUAACCUUUUCCAAAUCUUUUAUUUUGAUCUCUAACUCUUUUUUUUUUCAUGUAAUUAAAAUUUAACACAUCAAUUUUAUUUUAAGCAGUUUGCUAUUAUUAAUAAUACCGCUAAUUUUAAAGAAAAUGGCACAUGAUAAAAUACUGACACGGCAAAUAUUGAUCGGCACUGAUGUCGUAGCGAUGUGACUUAAUUAAAACAAAGCUAAAAAUUAUUGAUUUGUUUGUGAAAAAAAAAGCUUUAAAAUUGAAAUAAAAAAUUGAAAAAAUGUUAUGAAUUAAUAAUGCAAUUAGCCCCGAAGAAAAUAACCAUACAAAAAAUAAGUUGAUUUCAAUAAUAUAAAGAGUCAGUUCAUAUAUAGCCCUGGAACUAUCGUAAUUACAAUUCAACUCAAAUUUGAUAAAAAUUUGAAAAUAGUAAUUUUACCAUUAGUUAUUGUAAUGUCGAGGAGUUUCGCUGUUCAGAUGUGCAAAUAUGACUCUAAAACUUUUAUAGUAGAGAAAUUUUUUUAGCAUUUCCAUGAUCGAUAUUAAAAUCUCGUCGGUAAUUUUAAUUUACGAUCGAAUUACAAUUACAUCCAACCAAACUCCCCUUUCAUGGAAAACUCGAGCUCACCACCCUGCCUAGUUUUAAUAAUAAUAAAAAUAAUAAUAUAAAUUUAAAAGAAAAAGGGAAUCUAACCAAACCACGUUGCUUAGGUCAAUGCCUUAUACCUAAUUCACCACAUGAAAGAGCCCCACCAACCAACCAAAUAUGUGUCAAUUAUAAGCAAUUAAAUUAAUACCUUGGAAAUUUCUAAUAAGUAAUGUCAAAUUAAAUUGGUGGCCAAAGAAUAAAAAAGGAACUUUGUGCAGAAUAGAGUAAGCAACCUCAGAAGAAAAAGAUGGAUGGAAUAUACCCAACCACUUAACAAACACACAUUUUGCAUUGAUAACUCUAAAGCAUCUUCCAUUUAGUUAUUAAUUGUAAUUUGACCCCAUAACAAUAAUGAAGGUAAAAUAUGUAUGCAAGGGUAUCAAGGCUAGAUCUAAUUUGGGUAUAAGAUAUUUCUGCUAAUCUCCGUAUAAUUGUACGUGGGAGAUCGAGCGAUUUCGUGACUUCUGUGUCGAAACAAAUGUCAGGUCAUCGACUUUCUCAGAUUAUGAGUUUAGCUUUCAAAUCAGUUAAGUAUAUAGAUUAUAACAUUGCUACGUAGUAAGAAAAUUAUUUAAAAAAUUAAAUUUGAUGAACAGUUGUAAUUCUUCGGUGCAUAGAGAUUAGAUUAGUUAUUUGUAUAAAAAAAUUAUGUUUUUUCUUUAGUUGCAAAGGAACAUAUCUCUUCAUAGAGAGAUGCGUCUCUCUAGCAUUCAUAAAAUAAUGUGUCUUUUAAUUAGAUAUUUGUAAAGAGUUAGAUAUAGAUACUAAAAACGAAAUCCUUUCAUAGUUUAUAUUUUGCAAAUAAGAAGUGUUUCAUAUUCUCAAAUAUAUAUUAAUUUUUUUCUCCUUUCUUAAUUUUUUAUACUAAUUUUAAAAGAGAAGUUUUUUUAAAAGUGGUGUUUGCAAGUUUUUGAUGAUUUUGUUAUAUUAUGUGAAGACAAAUAUAAUCUUAAAAAAAAAAGGUGUUGAUAUAAGUCUUAUGAUCUCAAUUAACCUGAUCUCCAUGUGCUCUUUCUAUAUAACAAUAUCCAGGCAAACAAUAUAUAUUCAGCCCCUUUUGUCCUCUUUUCUGUCAAUUUGAUCUGAUUCUCCCUAACAAUUUGACUAAACUACACCAACUCUACAUCCUCCUAGAUCAACAUGCAUCUUGCAAUUCUAUUACUUGUACAUUGAAUUAUUAUCCCAACAAACUCACCAAGUAUUCGAGAUUCUAAAUCAAAAUUCUAGUUGUUUCACAUUUUCAGUUAAAUUUAUUUAAAAAAAAAAUGAAACGGUUAAAUUUAAAAAAAAAACUAAUUAUCAAUUCACAUAAUCAAAGUUGCGUGGAAAAAAAUUGAUUUUUUAUCAACAAUACUAUUGCUUCUUUGUAGGGAGAGUUUUAAAAAAAAAGAAAAGAAAAAAAGGUAAACUAUAGUUUGAUGCAGAUGAAGAAUAACAACAGCUCAAAUGAUUUACAUUGUGUUUGCAAUGAUCUGCUACCACUAGCAGCUCAAGAAGUUUCUUUUUCUAUAUAUACUUCUUCUUUUCUUUCUUUCUUUCUAUUUUUUUCGCACGCGAUAUCAAUCGAUCUUCACCGACGAGAAGAGGUAGUGCACGAACCAGAACGACGAGACGAAGCCGACGGUGCCGGCGGCGAGCAUGACGGCGAGGACCAUCAGUAGGGAGUACCCCAGGUAGAGCGCGGCCGACACGGGCCCGCUGAGGCUCUUGAGGUCGAAAACUAGGUACUUCACCGCGUACACGAGCACGUACACCGCGACCGACCCCGGCGCGAAGAACGCCUUCCACCACCACCGCCAGUCCUCCGCGCAGAGGUGCACGUAAGUGAGCACCAGCGCGACCUCCGCGCAGACGACCACGAAGAGGCCCAACACCAGCAGUAGGAACCCGAACACGUAGUACACCCGGCCCAUCCAAAGGCUGGAGAAAAUGAAGAGCAGCUCGACGAAUAGCGUCGCGAAGGGCAGCGCCCCCGCCGCGAGCACCAGCAGCCACGGGGGGUACCUCCGCAUGGGGACCUCCCGCGGUAUCUGGUUAGUGGGCGUCGGGAAUUCGACGUGCGGUGCUUUCGCACCGAAGAAACCGCCGACGAGAGUCAGCGGCACGGAAAUGCAGAACCAAGUGAAGAGCAAGAAAGUAAGGAGAGACGAGGGGAGGGCCCCCGUGCUAUGGCUGGCCGAGAGAAGGCAAUUGAGGACGGCGAGAAUGAAAGACGCUAAGCCCGGGAACGCGCACGCGACGCGCCACGACACCGCGGGCCACCCGGCGGGGUCUCCGGAGUUGAGCGUCUUCCAUAGCCGGGCCGCGGCGUACCCGCCCGCGGUCCCGAGGACGAGGAAGAAGAGCAGCAUUCCGGAGAUGAGGGCGCCGCGCGCCGCGGGCGACAUGAACCCGAGGGCCGCGAAAAAGAUGGUGGCCGCCGCCAUGCCGAGAAUUUGCACCCCCUCGCCGACGAGCACGCAGAGCAGGAGCGGGCAGCUCGGCGGGCGGAAGGCGUCCCCCGCGACGAGCUUCCAUCCGGACAGCUCGCCGUCCUUCGCCUCCGCCGCCGCGUCCAGCGCCUCGUACCGCGCCAGGUCGCGGCGGACGGUCCGGAGCAUAAUUGCCACCGCCACGGCGGCGAGCAUCGCCACCACGGCGAGCGAGCCGAGUAUCGACAGCCAGUGCACCCUCUCGGCGCCGCCCUCCGACCGCAGGUACGCGUCCCAGCGCGACGGCCACCGCACCGCGCUGCCGACGAACUCGACGUCGUACGUGAACGCCACCCGCUCACCGGCCGCCACCCGCAUCCCCGGCGACCUGGCGUCGCACUCGAUCGGCGCCGGGUAUUCGUCGUACAUGUCUAGUCGCUCCGCGAGUUUCCGGUCGUGCCGGACGCUGCACGGCGCGACUUCGAAUCCGACGACCAUGAAUUCCUCCUCCUCCUCCUCGUCGGUGGCGUUCCUCGGGAUCAGCUGCUCGACGGCGACGUCGCCGGUGCCGGGGAUGAGAGUCGUCGUCAUCCGAUCACCGUCGUCGGCGUCGCCGUGCACGCGGACGGUGAACUUGAGGUGAUUGAAGAUGAAGUAGUCGUCGCCGCGGCGGGCUCCGAUGGGGAAGCCGCGUUGCUCGGACGCGACGUUGAUGGCGGGGAGGUUGUCGAGGACGAGGUUGGCGGAGUAGGCGGCGUCGACGCGUUGGCGGAGGAGGGCGAAGUCGCGGGGGGAGAGCGGGGGAGAGGAGCAGAGGAAGGUGCGGGAGGCGUUGAGGCGCAUGCGGAAGAGGUAGGGGGAGGACUGGAUGCGGUCGCCGAGGAGGAGCUCGCCGAGGGACUCGGCGGAGGGGCGGGGGCCGGCGGGGGGGGGGGGGGGGGGGGGGGGGGGGGGGGGACUGGCGCGUGCGUCGCGUCGGCUUCCCGCAGGACCGGGUAGAUGGCACAGGCAACGCGCGCCGCGGCGGUAAGACUGGGCGGGGGUAGGUGCCCGGAGGUAAGAAGGCGACGGAGGAAAGUGAGCAGGAAGGAGAAGGAGAAGGCGAAGAAGAAUGCAGAACUAGCUGCUGCUGUUGUUGUUGGAAGAGUGAUUUGGGAGACGACAUGGUCUUGAAGGAAUAAGGAAAGGAAGACUGGAAGUAAUGGUGAAAAUUGGGAUUUGGGGGAAUGGGGGAAUUGGGGUGGUGGGAUUUAGAUGGAGAGGUUGAGAGGAGAGAGAGAAGAGAGAGAGAGAGAGAGAGAGGGCAGGGGAAUGGAGAAGGAGAUGCAGCUUGAUGGGUCUUACAAUUACUUGACUACUGUUGGCUAGUGAAGGACAGAGAGAGGAGGCGGUAGGGGAAGUUGCUUGUUUAUUAUAGACGAUUCAAAACAUAUUUUCCAGAAGAAAAAUGCUAUUUGUAGUCUGUACACCUCUACUAUUAAUAUACAUAGUAUGAGUUCGGUUGCUGCAAUCGAUUGGAACAAAAGCCUAAUGUUAUCCGAAUUUUUUUACCGUUCUUUGCACAAAAUUUUAUUACUUAUUAAUGAGUGGCAGCUUUGGUUGAAUAUAUUAGGAAAAACUUCAAAAACCUCCCUGUGGUUUCCAACUUCUCACUUUUAGUAUCCAGUGGUUUAAAGUGUAUCAAUUUGUCCCCCUGUGGUUUUGUUUUUAUUUUUCUAUAAUUUUUCCUUAAUAUUUCGUUAAAUUAUAUGCAAAAAAAACAUGCAGAUAUCCAUCUAGAUUUACGCGAAUAUUUACUUUAGUACUGUUUAGUUUUAAUUUUGUUGCUGAUUUGAGAAAAAAAAAUAAUAAAAUUGAUAAAAAAAAAGAGAAAAACGAAAACUACAGGGGGGCAAAUUGAUAACUUUAAACCACAGGGUAACCAAGGUGAGAAAGCUGAAACCACAAGGGGGUUUUUUGAAGUUAUCCCAAUAUUUAUGUACCGUGAACAAUCAUUGCAACCGCGAAAGAGGGGUCGACGAAGCGGAAGCGAGGAUAAUAAGUAAGAACGGUUAGUUUUAGAAAUAAAUAUAAGUUUAGAUUAUAACAGAAACUAGAUCAAUUUUGUAUUUUGGAUGAAAAUUAGAUGUUUCCUAGAAAUAAGAUAAAUAGCGUUUGAAUGGUUAGAUUGACAAAGUAAAUAAAAGUUAUAAUUUGAAAUUAAAAUUAUAUUAUGUAAUUAAUUAACAUCAAAAUUACUUAAAAAUAAAUAAUAAAUUAAUUAUUCAUAAUUAAUUAUAAAUAAUAAUAAGUAUUAAUAAUUAGUAUAAUUAAUUAAUAAAAUAAUAAUUAAUAAUAUUGAUACUAAUUAAUAAUAAUAAUAAUUGAUAAUUAUUAAUAAAAAAUAAAUAAUUAUUAAUAAUAUCGAUUAUCUAAUUUUUUAAUAAUAAUAAUAAUUAUAUUUAUUAAUAAAUAAUAAUAAAAUUAUUAAUUAAUUACUAGUAUAAUUAAUAAUAAUAAUUAUCUAAUUAUUAAUAAUUAAUUACAAAUAAUAAAUUAAUAAUAAUUAUACGCUUAUACUACUUAUUAAGGAUAAUAAUUAUUAAUAAUUAUUAAUAAAUAAUAAUAUUUAUUAAUUAAUUAAUUAAUAAUUAAUUAUAAUAAUAAUUAAUAAUAAUAGUGAUUGUCUAAUUAAUAAUUAUUACUAAUUAACUAUAAUAAUAAUUAAUAAUACUAUGGAUUAUCUAAUUCAUUAAGGAUAAUAAUUAUUAAAUUAAUAAUUAUUAAUAAAUAAUAAUAAAUAUUAUUAAUUAUUAAUAAUUAAUUAUAAAUAAUAAAUUAAUUAUAAUAAUUAUCUAAUUAUUAUUAAUUAAUUUUAAUUAAUUAAUUAAUUAAUUAUUAAAGUAAUAAAUAAUAAUUUAAAUAUAUUAAUUAGAUUAAUUAAUAAUUUACCGUCAUUAAAAUUAAAUUUAGAUUUUAAUUAACCUUGUUCUUAUCAAGAAACAAGCUUGUUCCAGAAAAAAGGUAGAACAGCAGUUUCAGGACAGUUCUAGUCUUAUCCCAGCUUAUUUUUGAAAUCCUGGAACUACUGUUCCUGAGUAUUAAAUAUCACGUUUGGAAACAAAGGGAGGAACAAGGGCUUAUUCCUCUUCUUGUUUCCGAACCAAACGCUACCAAAAGGUUUUAUAGGGUUGACUUGAUCAACGGUGGAGCUUGAUCGAUCAUAGAUGGAUUUGAAAUAAUGUUAGGGACUUUUGACCAGUUCAAAUCCAGUUGAGCUCAAAAAUAUGAUGUAUGUAAUAAUAUUCAUUCAAUUUAAAAACAUAAGUCUAUCAGGUAUUUAUCCACUGAUAGAUAAAAACUUAAGCCUAUAAAUUAUAAACCCGCUAAUAAAUAAAAACUAAAGUAUAUCUGGUUUGGUUUCACUAAUAAAGAACUAGGCUGGAAUACUAUCAAUAGUACCAAGUUAUUGGUGCUAUUGAAUUUUUAGCCCUUGAAUUGAGAAAUAUGGAGUUAGAAUGAUGUGGGCCUCUUAGGAUUGAGUGGGUGGUUGGUUGAAUAGUAUAAUUUAACGGAUAAAAAUAAUCAAAGAGAUUAAUCUAACGGUAGAAAAUUUAAUAGCACAAAGUGCUUGAUGCUAUCGAUAGCAUGACAGCCGAAUUCCACUAAUAAAUAUCAAUUUUUUACUAUCUUAUUAAUUAUUCGAUUUCGAGUAGUUGUGCUUUAACCUACACUAGUCAGAAAUUCAUCCGAGCUUAUAUGCUUGACUUGCGUCUCUCGUGUCUGGUUGUUUUUUAAUGCAUCAACCAUCUGAGUCCAUAUACUUAAUAUACGCCUUUCGAAUCUAAUUCAUUUGAGUGUACUGAAACAUCAUAUCAUAUUAUCAUAACUUUUUUUUCUCUAAAUCCGUUGAAUUCGUAAGAAUCACUAAUUUGAUGUACUCUUAAAUAGAUAAUUUACCGACUAUGUAGAAAUUUUUCUUUCUUUUUUUUCCCCAUAGUGGAAGAUUUUUUAGGGCAAAAUUUGACUAACAAUUACGUAAAGUAGUUCUCCCAACCAUAUCGUUACCUAUCAAAAUUCUCCAAUUUUUUUUUUUUAGAGAUUCACAAAUACUAUAUAACUUUUUGGUUGCCGAAAUAGUUUUUUCGAAUUAAGUAUAUAAAUAUACACAAAAAGAUAUAAAAGAUUAUAGAAAACUAACAAUUAUUCAAUAAACAAAUAAAAAUAUUUUUAUAAACUAUUCAUUGUUAAUUGAAUAGUGUAUUAUAUAUUUUUUACUAUCGUAAGAAUAAUGAAUAAUAAAAUAAAGGCUAAAUUAUAUAAAUUCCUCCUUAUUAAAACUCGAUUUUUCAUUUUUCUUUUCUGUCAUUUAAAAACCUAUACUUUGCCCCCUUAUAAAAUAAAAAAUGUUUACUUUGCCUCCUACCGUUAGUAAUCCGUUAGGGUUCCGUUUAUAAAAUAUUAUUAUAUAUUUUUUAUGCCAAAAAUAUCCUUAGUCUUCUCUCCUGGGGAAAAUGAUGAGGGGCAAAAUGGUUAUUUUGUCAUCACAAUUCACAUCGUUCCCUCUGUGAACAUUUUUUAUUUUAUAAGGGGGCAAAGUAUAGAUUUUUAAAUGACAGGAGGGAAAAGUGAAAAAUCGAAUUUUGACAUGGAGGUUUUUUGUAAUUUAGUCUAGAAUAAAAUGAUCAAGCACAUUAUGCUUUAUACUUUUAUAUAUAUCCUUCAGUGUUAUAUAUUAUAAUUUAUAAAUGAAAUUAACUAUUAUUGAAUUUUACAAUUUUCUCGAAUUUUUGUUGAUUUCUAAAUCCAUUACUAGUUGAAUAACAGUGAAAGAUUAACAACUUAAAUUAAGCCUUCAAACUUGUAUUUGUUAGCAUCUUCGCAUACAUAUAUAAGCCAAACUUGACUGUAACCUUAACCUCUCGCAAUAGUUAACGCCUCUGUGUUACUAAACUCUUCUUGUUUUGUAAUAGAAGUAAAUCAUCCCUUCAAAGGGGAGAACGGCGUCAGAGCAUCGGGAAUCAAUGGCGGCAAUGGCACUAUCCUCGGCUGAGUCGUAGAAUCAGUAGGUGGCGGCAGCGGGUCUUGUAUCGGCACAAGCGGCGGAGGGAGCAGUGAUGAUGGUGGCGUGUCGUCGAACACCGAGGGUGGAAGUACUACCAGAGGGCCGGUAUCAUCCGAAACCAAAGGCGGCGGUGGCAAUGGCAGCAACGGAAUUGUCGAAGGACUUUCAUCUGGAACCAAUGGCGCUGGUGGAGUGUCGACAGGAAUUACCAACCUCGGCAGUGGAAAGUCAAAAUUCGGCACCAGCGGCGAGGGUGGCAGCGUGGAGAAUAUAGGGAGGAAAGGCGGUGAUGUGAUGUCGUUAGGUGGCGGCCGGGAGGGGACGAGAGGUGGAGGGAAUAAUAUUGGAAUUGUCGGCGGCAGAGGCGGUGAGGGGACUAGUGGUGGCGAUGGAGGUGGCGGCAAUGGCACGGGAGGCGGCAAAGGGGGCGGAAGGAUUAUAAUUGGCGGUGACGGAGGUGGUGGCGAUGGCACAAGAGGUGGCGGUGGUGAUGGAGGUGGCGGCGAUGGAACGAGAGGUGGUGGCGGAGGCGGAAAGAUUACAAUUGGUGGUGGCGGUGGGGGUGGCAAAGGUGGCGGCGGUGACGGUGGAGGAGGGGACGGUACGAGAGGUGGCGGUGGAGGCGGACAGAUUACUAUUGGCGGCGGCAAAGGUGGUGGUGGUGACGGUGGAGGAGGGGACGGUACGAGAGGUGGCAGAAAAAUAUACGAAGGGAAAUAAGGGGGUGGCAACGGGGAGGAAUGAGGAGGGGCGGGUAUAAAAGGAUUGUCGGGGGAAGGGAAAGAUGUAGAGAACGGCCAGCGCCCACAAGCGCCAACGAGGAAGCUAAACAAAGGAUCGCAAGUUCUACGUGAUGGACCUCUUCUGGUUCUGCUGGCUCUGCUUCUGCUUCUACUUUUUCUACUUCGCAGUUCAUUUUCGACCGUUAUUACACGUGGCGGAAGCUUGUUGUGCAAUUGGAGGUGUGUUUGUGUUGGUAAAAUUGUUGUUGUUGUUGUUGUUGUAGGCUGUGGGUGGGAGGAGGUGGGGGUUGUGUGGAGGAGAGUGAGGAGGAGAAGCAAGAUGAGUUUGAUGGGAAGUGUGGUGGUGGUGUUCAUGGCAUUUGUGAAAUAUUGCAUUCCUUUGUUCUCAUCUUCUAAGAAUAUAUAGAAGCAUCUGAAGAAAACUUGAACUAGGAACAAGAUCUAUAUAUAGAGGGGUGGGGGGAGUUAGUAAUUAAGCAUUGGGUUUUAUGAUUCUUAUUGUUUGUGCCACUCUGUUUACUCUUCUCAUCUGUGGCAUAAAUUUGACUUUGAGAAAUUGAGAAAGGAGAGCAAUUAUUGUAUGAAUCAAGGUGCAUUGAUUGGAGUCUCUAAAUGCUUCAUUUGGAAAGUACAACAAAUUUUUUAUUUAUUUUUAUAUAAUAAUAAUAUAAUAUUUUUAAAAAGUAUAUUUUUAUUUGCUUCCCCUUUAUAUCUUUUUAUCUAACAGCUUGAGACAACCCUCAAUAACAAAAUGGGCACUAAAAUUUUAAAAUACGUCAUAAAUUACAAAUGAGUAUUUAUUUAUUAAAUAAUCAUAAAAAUUGAUAAUACUAAAAUUAAUAUAUAUUAUAGAUAUAUUAUAAUUAAUAUAAAUUAUAUCCAUCAGUGUAAGAUCUCGUUUUAAUAGAUAUUCAAAUAUCUCGUUUAUAAGAUACUCAAAAAUAGAAUAGAAACAGAAAUAUAUUAUAGUUUAUUAGUGCCUACUCUAACUUAUUUAUAAUUCUUGGUUUACACAAGCUAUAUAUAUAUAUAUAGAGAGAGAGAGAGAGAGAGAGAGGGGGGGGAGAGAAUCAAAUAAAUAGUGGCUAGCUAAGGGGCUGUUUGGUUUGACGUAAAAUUGCGAAAAAAAAAAAUUUCGGUGGAAAAAAAAUUUUCGGAGAAAAAUAAAUUUUACGCUCUUAAACGUUUUGUUUGUAGGAAAAAAAAAAGUAAUUUUCCGUUCCGAUUGUUUGGUUGAAAGGAAAAGAAAAGAAAAAUAAAUAGAAAAUAAUUAUAUGUAUUUUGUCAUAUUAUAUAUAUUAUUAAUAUAAAAUAAUUAUCAUACUACAUAUAUUAUAUAAUUAUUAUAAUUUAUAUUUAUUAAUAAAUAUAUGUAAAAUAUAUUAUACAGUAAAUAUGUAAUGUAAUAUAUAAUUAUAUAUAUAUAUAUAUAUAUUUAAAUUCUAUAAAAUAAAUUAUUAUAUAUUUAUAAAUAAUAUUUAUAAAUAAAAUAUUAUAUACUAGUAAAUUUAUAACAAAAAUAAAAUAUUAUACAUAUGUAUGUACAGACAUAGAAAGAGAGGUCUAUGGUGGGUCCUCUCACGUGGUCCACAAGAAUAAGCUUUUCUCGUGGACCGCGUCUUUUUCCGCUGCCAUAAGCCGUGCCUUUUGGUAAAGAGUUUUCGUUUUCCGUGUAAAAAUGACGGAAAACGAAAAGCUUUGUUUUCAUCCAAAUCUGUAAAAAAAGUUUUCAUGGAAAAUCAUUUUACCACAACCAAACAACCAAAAAAAAUAAACAAAACGAAUAACAUGUUACCUAUUUCUUAAAAAAAAUGACAAAGAGUAUCAUUAGCAUUAGUAACUCACUGUACCUAGCACAAAUGACAAAGAGUAUCUGAUUGAUAUCCGAUAUUUUAAAUUUAAAUUUUAGUUGAUUCACAUUUUAAGUUAAAUUUAUUUUUAAAUAAAAUAAACAAAACGGAUAGCAUGUUAUCUAUUUCUAAAAAAAAAUAUUGGUAUGAGUAAACUCCAUGCACCAUUCCAGUAAACCAUAAAUCAUAUUGAAAUCUACAAAUAUAGUAAUAAAAAAAAUUCAUAAUUUUAGCAUGCAUUCUAUUUUGAGAGUUGGCAUAAUAAUAUUAUUCGGCUAACUUAGUAGGCUCACUGUCACGCCCCGGAUUACAUUUUCCCCGGGCACGCCGACAAAUCCGCCGUAUACAAAGAAAUUUUCCCUGUAUACGAAGCGAUAGCUGUACCUGUAAAUCAAACACUACUACGAACAGUAGUAGGGAGCUGCUAGAGAAAACAGAAGCUAAACCAACUGAGUUUCAUAUACAUAGUCCAAAUCCAAAAUACAAAGCUACUCGCACUGGCGAGUUAGGUCCAUUAUGUACAUAAACUCGAAACAAAACAUCUACCUGCAGUAGGGGCACCUCUAGCUCAGCACGUCGGGUAGGGCUCUAUCUCGCGACGCCCUUGCCUCGAUCCUGAUCCGCAGACGGUGCAGCAGCCGGAACCUGUGGCUCUGCAAAAAUAUAGGUAACAACUGGGCGUGAGAACUACUGUAAAAACAAGUAGUCCUCAGUGGGUACCGCCAAAAACAACAUCGGUCACUCACUAAGCUACAGAAGGGAGCAAGGAUAGUAGGAAAAGCAAGAAGUACACUCUACCGCUAUCAAUCACUACACUAUCAUGCUCUACACUAACCAACUGUAGGAAUAGUCAAGUCUGACCCAAUCCAAAUCGGGACUGUAAGCAUACCCGUCCCCGGGACUGUGAAUACACCCGUCCCUGCCCCGUUGCGACUANAGUCAAUAUCCAUCGACUUACCAUUGUGUCAAAUUGGAUUUACAAAUCUAAUUUUGAGUAAAGUCGAUCAAUCUGAUAUGCAUGUAUCAAAAGUUGUUUUAUCAAUAUUAUUUUUCUUUUUAAAUCUCAAUAUCUUUUUAUAGCUAAACAAAUAUGAAAUCCCCCCAAAAAAUUCCUCACCAUUUAUACACCAUUCACAUAUGCUCACUCCUAGUUAGAUCUUUUUUUUUUGGGGGUCAAUUACAUAUAGAUCCUUUCAAAUAUAGUGAAUUGCAGAUAUAUUUCUAUAAAGUUCAACUUUCAUAAAUUAUUAUUAUAAAAGUUCUAAUAUUUUCAGAUAUAUCUCUACCGUUAGAAUCGGUUAGAAAAAUUUAGUUAACCAUAGGUUAAAUACUUUACCCGGAUUAAUUUUUGACAUUUUUAUCCAUCUUAUAUUAUACUGUUAUAAUUUUUGAAAGAACAUAUUUGUGAUGGCAAAAUUGAAAAUAUAAACAGUUUUCUAACGGUUCUCUAACGGUAACAAACCAGAGGGACUAUCUGAAAACGUUAGGACUUUUGCAAGGAUAGCUUAUGAAAGUUGAACUUUACAGGAAUAUAUUUGUAAUUCACUAUAUUCGCGGGGACCUGUAUUCAAUUAACCCUAUUUUUUUUGAAUGAUACCAUCAAAUGC